rnacentral:lncRNA from 1 species
CAUAAUUUUAAAAAACUGUGCUUAUGCUAAAAACAGAUCCUUAGCAUUCUUCCAGUAUUCUUAGUUGUGUCAUUUGCUUUAAAAUAAGCCUAAGAAUUGCACCAGAAUUAGCUGCACAACUCCGCCAGGAAAUGCAAAGUUUUAUUGUUAUAGGAUUCUAGAAACAAUCAUAUUAUAUAUCUGGAAACUCUAUACACACAUGCCCACACACACAAAAACACACACAAUUUUCACUGAAUAGACAUCAUAAUAAGCACACUGAAAACCUAAUAAAGUUAUUAUAAAGCUGUAGAACACAAUGAUUAAAAGCAAAUGAUAAUCUUAAAUUUUAAAGAACUGAAAAUAUUAGAAUUUAAGAAUUAAAAUGUUCUAAUUGUUCUUUGGUCCACUAUCAUAGAUUUCAAGCAGAUUAAUUAAUGUAGUAGAAUGACAUUAAUAGUUCCUAUCAAUGGGAUUUAAUUUAUACCAUUUUGAAAAUAGUUUGUUGUCAUAUAUUGUUUACUGUGUGACUUCUUGUAUUUGCUCUAAAGUAAGGCUAAAUCACAUCUUAGCCUCAUCUCAUCCAAGGAAGUGAUUACAGUAAAGGUAUCCAUGUUGGGUUAAUGUGUAAAAUAGUGGUUGUGGAUUAAUGUGGGUUUGAUGUAGGAAUUUAUUAUUCUCCUUAUUAAGAUUAGCUUGAAAUGUACUGUGUGACGAAUAUUUAGUCUAUUCAAUAAGUGGUAUUCAACAGAUAUAUAUCAACAAGUGCUAUGUACCAACCACUGUUCAAGGUGGCAGAUAAAAAUAUAGGCAAAGAUAAUAUUAAUCCAAAUUGCACAUGAAAACAUUUGAUACUAUUGAUAAUGUGGCAGAUGAAAUGAUUUUCACUUUAUUAUAAUUUUUAAGAGAAUGAGAUAAUUAAAUGUGUACUGUAAGUGUUACAAGAAGCCUAUCCAUGUUAUUCUUUACUGAAAUAAUUAGAUUACAAAAAUCACCUUUUUCAAAAGAAAUUUAUAUUAUAAAUGCUCCCAUGGCAAAAACAAAAAGCCUGGUCUUUGACUUGGAAUAUAUUCUUAUUAUAUAAAGUAAGAUACAUGGCAGAGAGAAGAAAAAACAAUUUUAUUCAUCUGUCCUGGUAAUGACAAAAAAGACAGAAGUCAUAUUUUUUUUGCAAUUUUAGAUUGGACUCCUAAGAAUAGCAGACAGUUGGCAGUGUAAAUAUGUUGUAAAUUAGCUAGCCCUGAAACAAAAUGACUGAUCAUUAGCAAAUCGGGCAACUUUUAUUAUUGCCAUUGUAAGUUGCUUUACCUAUCAUGAGUGUGCUCUUAUACUAUUAGAAUUGAAAUCUAUUCUGUACUGCCAAUUUAUAUCCCUGUUUUAUAAUCUUGGGAUUCUUGCUUUACAUUCUAAAAUGUUGUCUCUGAACAAUUAGUGAAUAUCAAGUAAGUUUUUUAUUUUUUUUAAAGGUAGUCUUAAAAGUCUAAUGAUCUUUAGUGAAAAUAAUGAGGAGAUUUGGAUAUGGUGGUUCAUUUCUGUAAUCCCAAGUAGUUGGAAGGAUGAGGCAGGAGUAUAUUACUUGAACCCUGGAGUGUGAGGACUGAUUGAGCUAUGUGCUAUCAUCAUGCCACUGCAGUCCAGCCUGGGCCACAGAGCAUAAUCUGAAUAAAAAAUAGAACUAUAAAAAGUAAUAUAGCAUUGCUGUUUUUAAUUCACUUGUAGUAAUGCAUAGAUAGCAUAUUUAGCCAAAACGUUUUAAACUGGUAAUAUGCCAAGAGGUCAGAUGUUUGAGUCAGAUUGCUAGCUAGCUCCUCAACUGGCUAAAUCUGUAGUAUUUUGCAAAGUAUUUCUCCUAAAUGUAAUUAGUUUUUUUAUUUGUUAAAUGGAUUUACUAAUGCUACCUGCUUAGGAAACUAACUCUGAUAUUAAUUAGUUUACCUCAAAAACUUGUUCUGAAUGACAUAUAUUAGGCAAUAAAAUAUUAGCUACUACUUGAUAUUACAAAUUCUUUUCAUCUGUUUACUUUUAAAGCUCAUAGUGAGCACAAUAAAAUUCCAGAAGACCGAUGAUGGCUGUUAGAUAUAACAGAACGCUCUGAGAGUCACUAUCAGAAAUGAGCAUAUCAGUGCAUAAAAUGUAUGGUAGCUUUAUUUAGCAGCUGUUUCAUUGUUUACCAUAGCAUUUUUUCUUACAAUUUUGUAGAAGCCUGUGUCAGAAUCAAGAAGUUUUUUUUAGAAGAUGAUAAUCAUGGAUGAUUGAAAUCAUACUGAAAAUUAUUCUAAAUUCUAUUAUAUUUAUAGUUGUAUUUUCUUUCAAAGGAUAAUGGAAGUCUUAAAAAGAAAAUGGAUACUUCUCUGCCAGGGGAGAUACUGUGAUCAUGAAGGUGGCUUUCCCAGGGCAAGGCUGAUCUAUUGCAUUCUGGAUGUGCUGACUCCUACGAUUUCCCCAAGUGUGGGAAACUCAACUGCAUAAUUUGUGGAAAAUUUGAAGCCAGAUGACAAAGAUGCCUUAGAUGAGCAUAAGUCCUCUCCAACAGAAUAUGCUCCAUUAUAUCCUCAUCCAACAGGCUUUAUGUAUCAAUAGCCUGCCAACAGGACAUUGUUCAUCCACCUUGAAACGGCCAUUCAUCAACCAAGCAGGUUGUUGUUGUCAAUAGGGAGCUCUUCAAAGGGCAUUGCCCAUGUGACAGUGGGAUCCAGUAAUUCCUGAGGUGGUUCCAGACUACAUGCUAGAAAAUUCCCUACUACCUGCUCUUGAACAGGAUGAGCAACUCCUUGCACUUCCCUGGUUUGUGAUGAAGAAAUAAACAAUGCCCAGUUCCUGCCCUGGAGAAGCUCAUUGCAUAGAAAAAGGAAAAAGGCAGAUAUACAUGCCACAGUACAGUGCUGAGACAACAUAAAUCACAAGCAACCAAGUACAAAGUGAAUUAUACAGAAUCUGGUUUUCUUCUGUUUGGAUUUGAUACUGAGCUAUACUGGAUUCACUGACAAGAAGAGUUUGAAUUAGCAGCAUGCUGAGAAUGGACACAGUGUUUGAAGAGACUGAUAAAGAAAGUACAGGAGGAGUUUUAUUUUUGGAAGAAGAAAUGGUCCUUGGGCACAGACCCCAUAUGAGUUUUCCUUUCAGCGUUCUCUGCUCAGCUGUUCUCUGCUGUGGUAAUUUUGGAUCAAAUCACCCUAACGUUUUUCAACAAAGACUUUAGAAGAAAUAAAGCUGCAUUACUUUUUCUUGGCGCAUUCUUCCUUUAGGACCUAUAGUGAGGUUUUAAAUAGAGACAGAACUUGCCCUGUGGCCCACGUUGGAGUCCGCUGGCAUGAUCGUGAUCCACUGCAGCCUCAACUUCUUUGGGUUCAAAUGAACUUCCCACCUUAGCCACCUGAGCAUCUCGCCUAUCUGGACUCCACCUAUCCUCCCCUGUCAGCAUCUCACAGCAUAGGCAUGGGCCACCAGAACCAGCUUAUUUUUGUAUUUUUUUAAGCAGAAGAGAUCUUACCAUGUUGUGAAGACUGGUCUCGUACUUCUGGCUGAAGUGAUUUGUUCUCCUAAGCCUUCCAAAUUGGUGGGAUUACAUAUGUGAACCACCACACAAAGACUCCUACUGGUAUAUUUAGAAGGAUAUAAGUAUGCCGGUUUUUGGAUGCAUGCAUGGAGAAGACCCCAAAGCUUUUCACUUUUCCCUGAGUUUGGGCUAAACACUAGAGUUCCUCAAAGAGUCCAUAUCCAAAGUCUGGGCAGUUUUUCUUUUCUUUCUUUUCCUUUUUUUUUUUCUUGGAUUGUUUUUAAAAAAUAUGUCGAGAAUAGUAGACCAUCAAAAAGGUGACAGAACACAGAUUAAGUGGAUAUACAACACAAAGAAUGCAGACCACAAAAAUAGCUCUGGAGGGUUGCUACACAAGUAAACAACCCACAAACUAAGGAAUUGUGGAUGUUAAGAAUUUGUUAUCCAAAUAUGCUGAAUACUAUCCAAUAUUUCAAUUCACUUCAUUUUACUAUUCUCAAAGACCUAAGGGAACCCAGGAGUACAGUGAUUCAAAACUGAAAAUACCAGUAAAGACAUACAGAUUAUUUUAAAAAUGAAAUCAAUAACCUUGAAGUUACUAGGAAGCUGUGUGAUUGAAAGUCAGUCACUCAAUCACAUGAUCCUGGGAUUUUCCUCUACAUGUGGGACUACCCAUACCUUGCAGCAUUGCUGUGAGUUCACCUGAGCAAGACACCUGCACAUGGUGGUGCUCAGGAAAUGUUAAUUUCCCUUUAUUGAAAUGGAACAACCCAUGGGUAUUAUGUCUUGAGGUCUGGAUUACAGUUGAGCAAGAUACAGAAGACGUUGUAAACCCUGAGGAGGCAUCACUGAUCACUGGGAGUCUGGAAAGGCAGCAGAGAAAAAGUGACCUGCAGCUGGAAAUGGCCAAUGGGUCUGUUACAGGAAGUUACACAGGCAUGAGUGGGGCAGAAGAGAGUUCUCCCAUCCACCUACCAGGAAUGUCAGGCCAUCGGGUAAUGGUUGGACAGUUAUCACAUUGCUUUUCUAAAAAUAAUAAUUUAGCAGCAGAGCCAGGGAUAGACAAGUUCCUACUGAUACACAGCUGGUAACAUUAAAGUGUUAACUAAAGUCACACUCCCGGGAGGGGGAAAAAGGGCUUCUAGUAAAAUUUUACAUACUGGGUGAGUGAACUGAGACAUGCACAUUAAGAGACGAAAUGGUACAGCAUGACUUUCUGGGGUCACUCCACCAAAAAAAGGGAGGAAGCUUCAGAUGGGCAUGCAUAUAAAUGCUCAAACACACUGCCUAUGCUCACUUCUCAAGGGUAAGGAGGGCACUGUGCCUGCUGGCAGCCCACACUUAGGAAAGAAUCAUGGAAAAAGGUGCACCAGAUGCUCAAGGUGGGCCAGCCUAUAAAGUCCCAGAAUGAAGAGAAAUGGCCACACUUGUUCUUCAAGUCACCCACUUGGAUCUCUUCCAAGUGCACUUUUCAUUCUUUCCUGCUCUAAAGCUUUUUAAUAAAUGUCCACUCCUGCUGUGAAACUUGCCUCAGGAUUUUUUUUCCUUCUUUAUGCCCAUCAGUUGAACUCUUUCACCUGAGGAGGCAAGAACUGACAUUGCUAAAGACGCAGAUGGAUUUGCUGCCAGUAACUCCGAUACUUUCCACCAGUAACAGAUCUAGGAGCUGGUGGACAUAGUUGCUGAAGCAUGUGUCCAGAAUGUUUCUGCCCAGGCCACAAGCAGUCCUGCACUGUAAAGGGACUUGAACCCCAAGCUCAGGGGACACCAUGGAAAGAGACUUCAGCCCGCUGAUGGAAUACUGGAGAUAGGAAUUUUUUAUUGAGGUAUAAUUCCCAUAAUAUGUUAACUGUUUUUUAAGGUAUAAUUCAGUGACACAGGAAUGUGCAUGUUCUACCACUUCUUAAUUCCAAAUUAUUUUCAUCAUCUCAAAAGGAAAUCCCCUACCUAUUAAGGAGCUACUACCCAAUCUGUCCUCUUUCUGACUCCUGACAAUUAACAAUCUGUUUUCUUUCUCUGUGAAAUUAUUUAUUUUGGAUAUGUUUAUAAAUAAAAUCAUACAAUACGUGA